rnacentral:rRNA from 1 species
UACGUAGGGUGCAAGCGUUUAAUCGGAAUUACUGGGCGUAAAGCGUGCGCAGGCGGUUUUGUAAGCCAGAUGUGAAAUCCCCGGGCUCAACCUGGGAAUGGCAUUUGGGACUGCAAGGCUGGAGUACGGCAGAGGAGACUGGAAUUCCUGGUGUAGCAGUGAAAUGCGUAGAUAUCAGGAGGAAUACCGAUGGCGAAGGCAGGUCUCUGGGCUGAUACUGACGCUCAUGCACGAAAGCGUGGGGAGCAAACAGG